rnacentral:rRNA from 1 species
AGAGUUUGAUCAUGGCUCAGGAUGAACGCUGGCGGCGUGCCUAAUACAUGCAAGUCGGACGGUCCCCUUCGGGGGAUAGUGGCGAACGGGUGAGUAACGCGUGGGUGACCUGCCCCUGGGAGGGGGACAACAGCUCGAAAGGGCUGCUAAUACCCCAUGAGCUGGUGGUGGUUAGAGGGCCAGCAGCAAAGCCGCAAGGCGCCCGGGGAGGGGCCCGCGUCCCAUCAGCUAGUUGGCGGGGUAACGGCCCACCAAGGCGAUGACGGGUAGGGGACCUGAGAGGGUGGCCCCCCACAAUGGAACUGAAACACGGUCCAUACACCUACGGGUGGCAGCAGUAGGGAAUAUUGCAGAAUGGGCGCAAGCCUGAUGCAGCAACGCCGCGUGGGCGAUUGAAGGCCUUCGGGUUGUAAAGCCCUUUUGCGCGGGAAGAGGAAGGACGGUACCGCGCGAAUAAGCCUCGGCUAACUACGUGCCAGCAGCCGCGGUAAAACGUAGGAGGCGAGCGUUAUCCGGAUUUACUGGGCGUAAAGCGCGUGCAGGCGGCCCGGCAAGUUGGCUGUGAAAGCCCCCGGCUCAACCGGGGGAGGUCGGUCAAAACUGCCGGUGCUAGAGGAUGGGAGAGGGAGAUGGAAUUCCGGGUGUAGUGGUGAAAUGCGUAGAGAUCCGGAGGAACACCAGUGGCGAAAGCGAUCUUCUGGCCCAUCACUGACGCUCAGACGCGAAAGCUAGGGGAGCGAACGGGAUUAGAGACCCCGGUAGUCCUAGCCGUAAACGAUGUAGACUAGGCGUGGGCGGGUUCAAAUCCGUCCGUGCCGCAGCCAACGCGAUAAGUCUACCGCCUGGGGACUACGGCCGCAAGGUUAAAACUCAAAGGAAUUGACGG